GACGAACGCUGGCGGCGUGCUUAACACAUGCAAGUCGAACGGAAAGGCCCUGCUUUUGUGGGGUGCUCGAGUGGCGAACGGGUGAGUAACACGUGAGUAACCUGCCCUUGACUUUGGGAUAACUUCAGGAAACUGGGGCUAAUACCGGAUAGGAGCUCCUGCUGCAUGGUGGGGGUUGGAAAGUUUCGGCGGUUGGGGAUGGACUCGCGGCUUAUCAGCUUGUUGGUGGGGUAGUGGCUUACCAAGGCUUUGACGGGUAGCCGGCCUGAGAGGGUGACCGGCCACAUUGGGACUGAGAUACGGCCCAGACUCCUACGGGAGGCAGCAGUGGGGAAUAUUGCACGAUGGGCGGAAGCCUGAUGCAGCAACGCCGCGUGCGGGAUGACGGCCUUCGGGUUGUAAACCGCUUUCGCCUGUGACGAAGCGUGAGUGACGGUAAUGGGUAAAGAAGCACCGGCUAACUACGUGCCAGCAGCCGCGGUGAUACGUAGGGUGCGAGCGUUGUCCGGAUUUAUUGGGCGUAAAGGGCUCGUAGGUGGUUGAUCGCGUCGGAAGUGUAAUCUUGGGGCUUAACCCUGAGCGUGCUUUCGAUACGGGUUGACUUGAGGAAGGUAGGGGAGAAUGGAAUUCCUGGUGGAGCGGUGGAAUGCGCAGAUAUCAGGAGGAACACCAGUGGCGAAGGCGGUUCUCUGGGCCUUUCCUGACGCUGAGGAGCGAAAGCGUGGGGAGCGAACAGGCUUAGAUACCCUGGUAGUCCACGCUGUAAACGGUGGGUACUAGGUGUGGGGUCCAUUCCACGGGUUCCGUGCCGUAGCUAACGCUUUAAGUACCCCGCCUGGGGAGUACGGCCGCAAGGCUAAAACUCAAAGGAAUUGACGGGGCCCCGCACAAGCGGCGGAGCAUGCGGAUUAAUUCGAUGCAACGCGUAGAACCUUACCUGGGUUUGACAUGGAUCGGGAGUGCUCAGAGAUGGGUGUGCCUCUUUUGGGGUCGGUUCACAGGUGGUGCAUGGCUGUCGUCAGCUCGUGUCGUGAGAUGUUGGGUUAAGUCCCGCAACGAGCGCAACCCUUGUUCACUGUUGCCAGCACGUUAUGGUGGGGACUCAGUGGAGACCGCCGGGGUCAACUCGGAGGAAGGUGGGGAUGACGUCAAGUCAUCAUGCCCCUUAUGUCCAGGGCUUCACGCAUGCUACAAUGGCUGGUACAGAGAGUGGCGAGCCUGUGAGGGUGAGCGAAUCUCGGAAAGCCGGUCUCAGUUCGGAUUGGGGUCUGCAACUCGACCUCAUGGAGUCGGAGUCGCUAGUAAUCGCAGAUCAGCAACGCUGCGGUGAAUACGUUCCCGGGGCUUGUACACACCGCCCGUCAAGUCAUGAAAGUUGGUAACACCCGAAGCCGGUGGCCUAACCGUUGUGGGGGAGCCGUCGAAGGUGGGACUGGUGAUUAGGACUAAGUCGUAACAAGGUAGCCGUACCGGAAGG
rnacentral:rRNA from 1 species